UACCAGCACCCCGAGUGGUCGGGACGUUUAUUGGGCCUAAAGCAUCCGUAGCCGGUUCUACAAGUCUUCCGUUAAAUCCAACUGCUUAACAGGUGGGCUGCGGAAGAUACUAUAGAGCUAGGAGGCGGGAGAGGCAAGCGGUACUCGAUGGGUAGGGGUAAAAUCCGUUGAUCCAUUGAAGAACACCAGUGGCGAAGGCGGCCCGCUGGGCAGUGGCUGACGCUGAGGCGCGACAGCGUGGGGAGCAAACAGG
rnacentral:rRNA from 1 species